GCCGCCGCUCGGUCUCGCCGCUCCUUCUCACACUGAAAUUGCCCGCUUCGCAGCCCGGCUUCCCCGGUUGCUAGGCAGAUUUCGCCUCGCACACUUCCGGGUUGAGCAGCGUCUCGUCGAGUGGCGGCGCCGCAGGCCAAUGAGGUCCGGCCGAGGCUCCGGGGAUCCGCGCCCCACGGAGGGCGUGGCCAGCCUUACGAUGGACAGGACCCGACAGCCAACGAGAGCGUGAGCCGGCUGGCCCUCGGGAUCGCGCCGGCGAUCUGGGCGGGCCCGAGGAGUUUGUCCCAAGGACAAAUGCUGGUCUGGAUGCAGAUGAUCCUCCUUCUGAAGCAUUGUCAGAAGGCUUAGGUUCCUGAUUGGGGUUGUCACCCAUGGAUAUUCAGAGGCCUGUGAUCAAGUGUCUGGAUGCUGUGGUGAGUAGUAAGGUGAUUGGGAAAAGACAGACCAACAAAGAAAUGAAGAAGAUAAUUUCAACUACUGAUGAUGAAGAUGAAGAAAAGUAAUCAAGGGUGUGACACAGUGACUGGGGAGGCCUCUGGCCAGGGUAGGAGUCAUGGGCUUGCAAGCAGGUGGGUUUGAGCAGAGACCUGAAUCUUACUAAACUGGAAACAAACAUUCUGGGCAGAGGGGAAUAGUGAGUGCCACAGUCCUGAGAUGGCAACAAGUAUGGGACAGAGCGGCUGGCAAGCUGGUGGGCAGGGAUGACGUAGGAGAGGCUGUCUGAUAUUUUGGGCUUGGGAGGAGGUGGGAUUUUAUUCUAAUGGGAAGAAGGAAGCGUACUGCAAAGCCCUAUGAGUUCUGUUUCCCCACCAGUAAAAUUCCUUACUUGGACUCAGUAAUCUUCCAGCUCUCUGAUUGCAGGCUUACGUUCCCUUAUUCAAGGAUAUUAUUGAGGCUCCAGGGUGGCCAGACGUAGCAAAUGAAAACAUAUGACACCCAGUCAGAUUUGUUUGUUUGUUUGUUUUUUUAAUAAGAUUUUAUUUAUU